GGAGGUAUAGCUCAAGCGGUAGAAUGCAUGCUUAGCGUACAUGAGGUCCUGGGUUCAAUCUCUGGUACCUCCU
rnacentral:tRNA from 1 species